ACAUGCAAGUCGAACGAAUGGAUGUCUAGCUUGCUAGACUGAAGUUAGUGGCGAACGGGUGAGUAAUACAUAGGCAAUCUGCCCUGAAGUGUGGGAUAGCUAUUGGAAACGAUAAUUAAUACCGCAUAGGUAGUAAGAAGGCAUCUUCCUACUAUUAAAGAUGCGUCUGCAUCGCUGCAGGAUGAGCUUAUGGUGUAUUAGCUAGUUGGUGAGAUAAAAGCCCACCAAGGCUAUGAUACAUAGCUGGUCUGAGAGGAUGAACAGCCACAUUGGGACUGAGACACGGCCCAGACUCCUACGGGAGGCAGCAGUAAGGAAUUUUCGGCAAUGGGGGCAACCCUGACCGAGCAACGCCGCGUGAGUGAUGAAGGUCUUCGGAUCGUAAAACUCUGUUGUAAAGGAAGAAUGUCAUAUAUAGGAAAUGAUAUAUGAGUGACGGUACUUUACUAGAAAGUCACGGCUUACUACGUG
rnacentral:rRNA from 1 species